AUACGCAUAAUGGUUUCGGUACUUUCUCUUCGAUUUUUUUUCUCCUCUUCCUGCGAUAAUGAUCACCUGCCACUACUACUACUACUACUAAUAGUCCGGCACAUCCACACUACUUCCCAAAAUAAAAUAAAAAAAAGGUGCGUAACGCUUCAACGUAGGUCACGGUUGAUAGAAUGGCUAACAUUUUUUUUUUGAGGGAGUUUUCUUUUGGCCGGAGUACCGGUAUGGUAUGGUAGGAAGCUAGUUUUAGGUUCGAUUUUACGCGUGCGUGUGUGUGGCUUUGUUAUUUUGGUAAUUGUAUUUCUCCUCUUUGUUCGUCACAAUCGGUGAAAGAUCUUCCGGUGCGUGAAAGUGGCACCCCCCUCGGGAAGCGAACGUGAUGCACUUUUGGAAAAUGAGCAAGCGAAAAAAGAGCGGCAUAAUCAAACAAACAAUUGUCGAAGAACAAUCGUCUCAACAACACUUCACACACACACACACAAGCACAAAAAGCACUACACAACUGCUGCACCUAUUCAAUUGAAUCUAAUUUAGCUAGCCACCCACUGCAGCGGCACCUUCUUUCUCGGGAGGUGCCCACUAAUGCUUAACCGUAAGCCGUGUACGCUAAUGUGCGAUCGCGAUCGAUCGGUCCUCGUCCGUGUCUGGUAAUAUGCACGAUGCACUUUACAGGUGUUUGUUUUGUACCCCGUACUGACCACCACCGUGCCACUCCGGUGCAAAGCCCCACAGCGAGUGUACGUAUAGCGCAGUGCGUUACGUGCAACGGUUGACGGUGGACUGAAAGCGCGAGCCCAGCUACCACCGCGUAAUAAAUGUGGAAAAUUAGUUUUCAAUAAACACACCCCACCCGUGGCCCACCGUGGUGCUACCGGGGGAGACAGAGAGAGAGAGAGAGAGAGAGAGAGAGAGAGAGAGAGAGAGAGAGAGAGAGAGAGUCAGAGAGACCUUGCUGCCGCAGCAUGAUGUAUGCCAACGAUGACGACGGCCUCAACGACGCUCGGUUCGACCGGGGGAAGUACUGUGAUUGACCGUAUGUAGGCAACACAAACACACGCCAGACUCCCUCCAUCGCCGAUCGGAUCCGGACCUGCCGGUGUGUGUAGAAUGCCGUGACAAUUGCGGUUGAUGAUCAUAUGUCGUGGGUAUGAUUCGUUUAGCAUUAUAAUAAAAUAAAAAGGCGCCAAGACUUGUCAUGUUUCUAAAGAACACACGUAAAGUUAUACCAAUAGAGUGUAAUACGUAUGUGAAGAUCAUCCAAGAUCUUCAGGAUCAAAGGUUUAGUGAAGAUCGUUAUUAUGGAUGUAAUACAAGUUGAGAUUGAAUCUAGUCCACAGAAUGAUAGGAAACGGUCAGAUCCAGUGGCGGAUCACCCUAGGAGCAGAAGGAGCGGCUGCUCGGGACCUCGUCGGCGAGGGAAAUCCUGAUGUUUCCCUCUUAUAUCACAAUUCGAGGAGCGUCAACUGCCAUUCCGCUCGAUGGCUCCAUCCAUCUUGACCCACCACUGGUCAGAUCAACAGCUCAGAGUUGGAAAGCAUCGACUGGAGCUUUGAACAACAAUAUCGAUCUUGUCUAGGAUCUUCCACACUGUAACGUAUACUAUGACUCCUGGUGUCCGGGGUUUUCUAAUCCGAAGCUUCUGGCGCAUUUUUAAGAUCCACCAAAGGGCUCCAAUUCGAUCUUCUAGCUUAUAUAUUCUAUAAGUCAUCUUCAGAGUGAGGUUAAAAAGUGUCUCACUGUCUCCAAGCCUCUUCGCUAGAGGAUGUUGAGCGGUACCAACUAUUCGACACAGCUGCAAAAGGCACUCGCUAUGGCACAGGACCAUCACAUGGAAUAUCGUUAAAUAACGCAGUUGGGAUUAUCCACGACCUCUUGAGGUUUAUAGAGCCAAAGUAGAAUAAGCAAACCUUGACAAGUAAGACGGUAUUCAGAUCACAUCACAACUCUUAUCUCACUUACCCUCAUCAUCCGAUUUUUCUUGAUCGGUUCGAAUAACCGACGAUAAAUUAUAUUACUUAGACACAUUUUUGUAUCGCACUGCUCACAAACACCUCUACGAUACAAUAUCCAAGCAAAGCUAUGGGGUCACAAUAAUUCACCGUGCACGAUAAGAAGUUGGCCGCCCGUUAACCGUUCUCGUCACAGGUUUUUGUACCACCAGUAUAAAGCUAUACUGAAACCCAUCUUUACCGCAUCGCCAACAACAUUAAUGUCACACAACGACCCGAGGAGAACACGCCCGCAGUUAAUCUAUCAUAAUAUUUACACAAAUGCAUGCAGUGCGGUGCCGCCGGUAGUGGGACAGGUUGGAGUAUCCUCCUGGGCGAAAGUGUCUAAGCGUACGAUCGUCUAGCGUCUAGCGUGCGUUGUGAUAGCUAGACGAGUUACAACACCAGUUGUAGGGUGGAAAAAGUCUUCUAACCGUUUGUCAGAUUUCGUAUGCAGUACAGCACGAGCAGAUCCCAAGAGCACAAGGUAGGAAGAUGCGAUCGAUCAGAACCGUGUAAGUGCUUCUAAAAUCGGAUGAUAGCAGGUCUCAUCUGUCGUUGUGUACGGAGCAGCUAGCUCGGGGCUUCAGAGUUCAUCGAAAAGCGUAAUUAUUGUAUGACAACAUCAUCAAACACCAUCAACCCACCAACUACGCGGUACGUGGCACUAAUAAAACGAUGCCUCUCUUUACGAUUCGUUACGUGAGGCAGAGGCUGACAUCUUGAAUUACUAUGCAUCAUGGCGGAAGUUUAAUUCGAGCUUAUCUACAUAGAAACUCUCUUAGAAUUAUUUGAAAUGAUUUUUUUUAGACUUCGAUCUUCUUGAAGUAAUCGUAAGAUCGCAUCAAUAUACUAGCUUAAAGACAGUUGUGGACGAUCGAAUGGUUCACAAUUAAAUGCACCAGGCCGAGCAUAAUGUAUCCCAUCCGUAUAAAACAUGCGAAUAAAAUUAAUUUUAAUUACCAAAAAAAGGAAGAAAUGAUGUCUGAUAAGAAAAAAAUGCGACGAGAAGCAAUUAACGGAAGGUAGUCAAGCGGGCCCGAAAGAGAGAGAGAGAGAGAGAGAGAAAUUUCAACCGCCACAUAGUUGCGUCGAUUGAUUGUUGGGUUUUCCCCCGAAACAUUUUUCAUAAAAAUAUUUUAAAUUUUCCGUUGAGUAACUGUUAAACUUAUGAUAAAUAAAUUCCUUCAAUUAGAAACUUAA